rnacentral:rRNA from 1 species
GACGAACGCUGGCGGCGUGCCUAAUACAUGCAAGUUGAGCGCUGAAGGUUGGUACUUGUACCAACUGGAUGAGCAGCGCACGGGUGAGUAACGCGUGGGGCAUCUGCCUUUGAGCGGGGGACAACAUUUGGAAACGAAUGCUAAUACCGCAUAAAAACUUUAAACACAAGUUUUAAGUUUGAAAGAUGCAAUUGCAUCACUCAAAGAUGAUCCCGCGUUGUAUUAGCUAGUUGGUGAGGUAAAGGCUCACCAAGGCGAUGAUACAUAGCCGACCUGAGAGGGUGAGAGGCCACAUUGGGACUGAGACACGGCCCAAACUGCUACGGGAGGCAGCAGUAGGGAAUCUUCGGCAAUGGACGAAAGUCUGACCGAGCAACGCGGCGUGAGUGAAGAAGGUUUUCGGAUCGUAAAACUCGGUUGGUAGAGAAGAACGUUGGUGAGAGUGGAAAGCUCAUCAAGUGACGGUAACUACCCAGAAAGGGACGGCUAACUACGUG